AACCCGAGGGCUAUGUACGCCCUUGCCUGUGCAGUGGGAUGGGUCGACUGGUCCCAGGGGCAGGAGGAGAGCGGAGAGGAGGGAGACCCCUGUUGGGUGCCUUCGAAGGUUCUUAAUCUCCCCUCCCCCGCCUCCUCCCGCAGUCCUCUUCGUGGGUUUCGUCUCUGAUUACCUCACCGUAAUCCUCCCUGCUUAUUUUCUGUUUCUGUUGAGAUUUGCUCCAAGCCCCCCCACCCCACGCUCAAGCGGAGCCCUCCUAGGUCCAGCAUGCUCUUCCCAGAAGACCCCUGCGUGGACGAGUCUGCAAGCCCCAGGGAAAGCGCAAAACUUUCCCAAAAAAGCCAACUGCCCUUGAGCUGGAAAAGGCACGCUUGACCUUGGGCUCCCUCACUCCACUGGUAGCGGCGUGACUCUACCUCUCUGUGCCUCGGUUUUCCCCUCUGGUCAGCGGAACCCACGACGUGUACGGCUUAGUCCCUGGUAGGCACUGAGGCCCAGGUCUGCUCCUGGCGCCCGCCUGGCAGGUGGUGUUCCGUAGCGGCUGGCUCCACUCCCCACACCCCCAGGCUCGGGGUCAGACUCUGAAUGAGUGCUUCGCCUCGGUGGGCUUCGUUUUGUGCUAGAAACUAUUGAGGCACCGCUCCCUGUUCUUCAGGUAUGCGCUGAAAGCACGUGUGAGGUGGGAGUUCGGGUUAGCAUCCCUUCUCUGCUGCCUCCUUACUUGAAUUUGCCUCAGUCUCCCCAUCUGUAAAUCGGGUCUAAAAACGUCACCUCCCUUCUAGGGUCCUAGAGGAGCUUGGAUAAGAUCAUGCAAGUGAUGGACUUAUCACAGUGCCCCGUGUCUAGCAGGUGUUCACAGCAUGGUGCACAUUAGGUAUGAGAUGUUCUACCUACGGAGGUACACGUGCAUAGUAUUAGCACAGCAAAGCAUGGCCGUGGAUCCAUUAAUAGAGGAUGAAUUCACAUUCAGCAAACCAACGUUGUUGACCAGGCACUUACUGGAUACCAGGAAACCAGAAGAGUCGAUCCUUAAUGGAAACUUUCCACAGCCUCGGCUUUCUAAAAAUAUCUGGCAGCCCUGACCUUUUAUCACCCCUAGCGCGAGGCGCCGUGAUGAAAACAUUGAUGAACGUGUACAACCUCAGGGUGAUUUCUAAGCCUGACACCUAAGGCUGAAACCAGAAAGGAAAAGAUCGACAGAUGAAUGUUACGAUUCCCUUGAAGGGCCAGACACCUGCAAUACUGACGUUCAUUCAGCUGAGCUCAGAGGUUCUCAAACUUUACCUUGCAGCACAGCUGCUCAGAGGUGCAUGUAGAAAACCACAUGGAUAUGCACGCGCUUGGCCGAAUCUCCUCUCGAGACCCAUGCUUGGGGCAAGGACGCUGGACCAGGAAGCCCGUGACGUGUGCUCUGGGCGAUUCUGUCCCAACUGCCGUGAGGUAAAGCUGCUGGGACAGCUGAGGGUGAGCACCCGGCCUCUUCCCCACUAGCAUGUGGAAAAGGGCUGAGCAGGCAAGGUGGCCCUUGGCCCUUCUCCUGUGAUGCUGAUCUCAAAACUGAAAUGAUCUGUCCUCUAAGAACAAAACUCUUUUUCGCUCUGCUUUUUGCUGGCUCAGGAACUUUCCAGCCACCUCUGUGUGCUCUGGGGGAACUCGGGAACAGUGAAGAGCUUUCCAGAUGGGCCAGGCCAGACUUUAGACUCAGCGAAAAAGACAAAAAAAAAACCCUUGACAGGCCUGAAGCCCAAAGCCUUGGGUGGGGUCUGAGAGGUACAGGAUAGUAAAUCCCCCAGGGGCCCUGGACCUCAGAGCCAGCUUGCCAAAGUUCCCAGGCCCCUGUAAGGUCAGAAGCAUUGCCAAGUGCUAAUACCAGGGAGGGAAGAAACACGCUUUAAAAAGGCCCCUUCAGGACUCUGAGAAGUGGUUUACACUGUCCACACUGACAUUUUAGCUGCAUUUUUGUCACCCUGAGUCCCGGAUCCGAAGCCCUCGGGAGGGAGUCUGGCACCUGGUAUUCGGCAAAUGUUCCCUGAUGGCAUUGUUGCCUUUGUGGACAGCGUUUGAUAGUUGCUGUUGGAGAACGUGCCAGAGAAACACCCCCCCGCCAUACCCCUUUCAUGCCGCUACUAGGAAGUGUCAGCAUGUCUUAUCAGCAGAGCCCAUCCCUCCAGAAUGUCCAGGCCACUGUGUGUGCUGAUGGGCGUGGCAGCUGGCAGUGAAUUUGGGUGCGUUUUCAGAACGGCUUGCAGAACAGCUGCUCAGAGGUGCCUAUAGAAAACCACGUGGACAUACACGGGAACCCUUCAGAAGCCACAGCCCGAUGAGCCAGGGAGAUGUCAGGUGGCACGUAACCAACAACACCGCCGGCUGACCUCUGGUGAGUGUACUUCGUGUGCUGAAUCGAAUCGGCACGUGCACAGCAUUCAGUCACAGCAACAGCAUCUACACAGCCGAGGCACAGAAAGAGAGUCUUACUUAACUGGAUACACCAAGCAACAUGUACAAAACCGAAAAGGAGCUGGUCCAGUGCAGGAGCAGAACUCUCAGAGACAAAACAGCCCUGCCUCCUGCAGGCCACGGAGCUGCGAAUCAGGGCCGACUGAAGAGAGAAAAACGUACACACGCUAGCUUCUGCAGCAAAGAACGUCAGAAUUACACGAGGAAUCGAUUCAAACGUAACCCUCCUUCAGGCUUUUCUACGUGCUAAAUUUGACUCGUUUCCUUCUUACAAGUGAUAGAACCUCGGUGUGCAUGCAAAUUCAUAAGACUGCACAUUUUCUUCCUGUUUUUUUUUUUUUGGUUGAGAGUGAAAAAAAGUUCCUAUUUUUAUAGCUCCUGCCCAGUCAGCACACGGAGGGCCCUUAAAAGGGGGUGGUGAUGAGUGUAC